rnacentral:misc_RNA from 1 species
CCCCAACAGCUUAGCAGGGUUGAACCUUAACACUUGUGGAGAUCUGGCAAUCAGUCUUGGCACAAGUGAUACUGUCUUCGGGAUUACCACUGACCAUAAACCUAGCUUAGAUGGCCAUGUAUUUCCUAAUCCAGUAGAUACCAAAAGCUUCAUGGUAAUGUUGGUCUACAAGAAUGGGUCUUUGACUCGUGAAGAUAUACGUGAUCGUUAUGCAGAUGGAUCUUGGGAGGUUUUCAAUAUGUUUUUACAGCAAACACCACCUUUGAAUGGUGG